UCGUGCCAGGCGGGGAGCUAGCGGUGCCCUGUACCCGCAAACCGCUAUAGCGGGGCUGGAUUCCCUCCUAAGGCAAUAUGGUGGGAAAGUGCGAAAGGACAAGGGGCGUUGAAGGCCAGGUCCUGUGCAACAUCGUGCCGUGAACCAUGUCAGGCCUUGACGGGAGCAGCAUUAAGCGGAGAGCGGUGUGUGCCGCGGGGAAGCCGGGCCGGAGCAACCGAUCCUUUUAGCGUUUUCACGGUAUUGACGAGGGAGGGUGCACGG
rnacentral:SRP_RNA from 1 species